rnacentral:lncRNA from 1 species
CUACAUUCUUCUUGCCACUGAAAAGAAGCAAAAAUCAACAGCAAAGGAGAAAGUUUCCCUCACUAAACAUUUGAGAUACAAAUAAUCUGGAAGCUGGGAAGUUCAAGAUCAAGGUGCCACCAGGCCCAGUUGUCCGAUCUCAUCUUGAAUUAUAAUCCCCAUGUGUAGAGGGAGGCACCUGGUGAGAGCUGAUUGGAUUAUGG